UACGGGGGGGGGCAAGCGUUUGUUCGGAAUUACUGGGCGUAAAGGGCUCGUAGGCGGCCAACUAAGUCAGACGUGAAAUCCCUCGGCUUAACCGGGGAACUGCAUCUGAUACUGGAUGGCUUGAGUUCGGGAGAGGGAUGCGGAAUUCCAGGUGUAGCGGUGAAAUGCGUAGAUAUCUGGAGGAACACCGGUGGCGAAGGCGGCUCACUGGCCCGAGUACUGACGCUGAGGCACGAAAGC
rnacentral:rRNA from 1 species